rnacentral:snRNA from 1 species
AGCUUUGCGCAGUGGCACUAUCAUAACCAAUGAGGUUUAUCUGAAGCACAAUUACUGCUAAUUAAAUACAUCUCACUAAUGCAUCUGGAAUUUAUUUUGGCAUAGGGUAUG